UACGUAGGGUGCGAGCGUUGUCCGGAAUUAUUGGGCGUAAAGAGCUCGUAGGCGGUUUGUCGCGUCUGCCGUGAAAGUCCGGGGCUCAACUCCGGAUCUGCGGUGGGUACGGGCAGACUAGAGUGAUGUAGGGGAGACUGGAAUUCCUGAUGUAGCGGUGAAAUGCGCAGAUAUCAGGAGGAACACCGAUGGCGAAGGCAGGUCUCUGGGCAUUAACUGACGCUGAGGAGCGAAAGCAUGGGGAGCGAACAGG
rnacentral:rRNA from 1 species